UGUGCCAGCCCAGGGCACUCAGAGUGUGCCAGCCCAGGACACUCAGAGUGUGCCAGCCCAGGGCACUGAGAGUGUGCCAGCCCAGGACACUCAGAUUGUGCCAGCCCAGGACACUCAGAGUGUGCCAGCCCAGGACACUCAGAGUGUGCCAGCCCAGGGCACUGAGAGUGUGCCAGCCCAGGACACUGAGAGUGUGCCAGCCAGGACACUCAGAGUGUGCCCGCCCAGGACACUCAGAGUGUGCCAGCCAGGGCACUCAGAGUGUGCCCGCCCAGGACACUGAGAGUGUGCCAGCCAGGACACUCAGAGUGUGCCAGCCCAGGACACUCAGAGUGUGCCAGCCCAGGACACUCAGAGUGUGCCAGCCCAGGGCACUCAGAGUGUGCCAGCCCAGGGCACUCAGAGUGUGCCAGCCCAGGGCACUCAGAGUGUGCCAGCCCAGGGCACUGAGAGUGUGCCAGCCCAGGACACUCAGAGUGUGCCAGCCCAGGGCACUGAGAGUGUGCCAGCCCAGGGCACUCAGAGUGUGCCAGCCCAGGGCACUGAGAGUGUGCCAGCUCAGGGCACUCAGAGUGUGCCAGCCAGGGCACUCAGAGUGUGCCAGCCCAGGGCACUCAGAGUGUGCCAGCCCAGGACACUGAGAGUGUGCCAGCCCAGGACACUCAGAGUGUGCCAGCCAGGACACUGCGAGUGUGCCAGCCCAGGGCACUCAGAGUGUGCCAGCCAGGACACUCAGAGUGUGCCAGCCCAGGACACUCAGAGUGUGCCAGCCCAGGACACUCAGAGUGUGCCAGCCCAGGACACUCAGAGUGUGCCAGCCCAGGACACUCAGAGUGUGCCAGCCCAGGACACUGAGAGUGUGCCAGCCCAGGACACUCAGAGUGUGCCAGCCCAGGGCACUCAGAGUGUGCCAGCCCAGGACACUCAGAGUGUGCCAGCCCAGGACACUCAGAGUGUGCCAGCCCAGGGCACUCAGAGUGUGCCAGCCCAGGACACUCAGAGUGUGCCAGCCCAGGACACUCAGAGUGUGCCAACCACUGAGCAGCACCACAGCACCCACCCAUCUGACACGACCUGAAGGAAAUAUUUCUCCUUUCUCUCUCUCUUUUCCCCCUCCUUCUCUCCAAGGUUCAGCUUUCAUAACCAACGCUGAGGGCUCCAAUAAAAUCACAAUAAAAUCACAAUAAAACCAAAAAUCUGCAGCAG